rnacentral:rRNA from 1 species
GGACUUUAUUUGCGCAGCAUAGGUGGGAGGCAUUGAGUUUAUUCUUGCGGGAAUUUAGGAGCCAUCAGUGAGAUACCACUCUGGUAAUGUUAGAUUUCUAACUUUGUAUCAUGAUCUGGUCAAAGAACAGUUUCAGGCGGGCAGUUUGACUGGGGCGGUCGCCUCCCAAAUGGUAACGGAGGCGUACAAAGGUUUCCUCUGAACGUGUAGAAAUCGUAUCUAGAGUGUAAAGGCAUAAGGAAGCUUGACUGUGAGACCUACAAGUCGAGCAGGGACGGAAGUCGGUCUUAGUGAUCUGACGGUGCUGAGUGGAAAGGCCGUCACUCAACGGAUAAAAGUUACUCUAGGGAUAACAGGCUGAA